rnacentral:misc_RNA from 1 species
AAGUCGUAACAAGGUUUCCGUAGGUGAACCUGCGGAAGGAUCAUUAACACGUAUCCAACGUUAAACCCCCCGUGAACGUACAACAUUCCUUCUCGGCUUACAGAAAUAUUGGUUGCAAUCCCUGGUAAAUCAUCGCCGAACAGUUUUGAUUCAGGGACUUCUGCGAAGAGGGUGAAUGAGGCGAGGCAAUGGACCUGGCAUUCCUCUGCUUGUUGGUGUCUGAAAGUGUCACUAACUCUGUACGAAUGGCGCAGUCACGUUCGCUGGAGGCCGACACGGCCGGCGACCGGGUCCCUGAGCUCUGCUCCCUAAUAACCUUUGCAUGAAAACGGGCCUGCGCUUAAUUGUGCGGCCACCAAACUCGAACAACUGUUAACAAUGGAUAUCUUGGUUCUC